rnacentral:rRNA from 1 species
UACGUAGGGGGCAAGCGUUGUCCGGAAUCAUUGGGCGUAAAGAGCGUGUAGGCGGUCCGGUAAGUCGGCUGUGAAAGUCCAGGGCUCAACCCUGGGAUGCCGGUCGAUACUGCCGGACUAGAGUUCGGAAGAGGCGAGUGGAAUUCCCGGUGUAGCGGUGAAAUGCGUAGAUAUCGGAAGGAACACCAGUGGCGAAAGCGGCUUCCUGGUCCAGCACCGACGUUCAGGCACGAAAGCGUGGGGAGCAAACAGG